rnacentral:rRNA from 1 species
CUACGGGCUGCAGCAGUGAGGAAUAUUGCACAAUGGAGGAAACUCUGAUGCAGCAACGCCGCGUGGAGGAUGACGCAUUUCGGUGUGUAAACUCCUUUUAUAUGUCAAGAAAAUGACGGUAGCAUAUGAAUAAGCUCCGGCUAACUCCGUGCCAGCAGCCGCGGUAAUACGGAGGGAGCAAGCGUUACUCGGAAUCACUGGGCGUAAAGGACGCGUAGGCGGGAUAGAAAGUCAGGUGUGAAAUCCUAUGGCUCAACCAUAGAACUGCACUUGAAACUUCUAACCUAGAGUAUGGGAGGGGAAGAUGGAAUUAGUGGUGUAGGGGUAAAAUCCGUAGAUAUCACUAGGAAUACCAAAAGCGAAGGCGAUCUUCUGGAACAAUACUGACGCUAAGGCGUGAAAGCGUGGGGAGCAAACAGGAUUAAAUACCCCGGUAGUC